UUAAAACUUUAAAAUUAAUUUGAGCGUUCAUAGAUUAUCAAAACAACAUUCUGCUAUGCUCCCCAAAAAGUGUGUAGAUAUAUUCUCUUUCUAUUUGGAUAUAAGGUUAGACUGUUACUUUUUACUUGAUAUACAUUAAAGUUCAGUGAUUUGCCUUGUCAUAGAUUGGUUUGAGAUAUGUCAUCUCUCUUAUUUUUGAGUGCCUUAUUACUUGUUUUAAGAGUUUUUGUUUAUA
rnacentral:lncRNA from 1 species